UUAUUUACUUGGUAUUCAAAACUUACCAGAUUUGACACGUCAGCUUCAAUUUCUGUUUGGUAAUGAUAUUUAUGCCACCACCAAUUGCACAAGUACUCUGAAGCUUAAUGAUGAAUUGCAUGGAGCAUAAACAAGAGUGCGACAAAUAUGUCGAGGGCUUUUCAAAGCUGAACUAGAAUUAUAAGCUUCAAGUUUUGUUCCAUUUUAAACUCAAUCUUUUUUGUGGAUUCUAUUUGAUCAUAUCAAUAUUUGUUGCUUGGAUAAAAAACUUGCAUAGUGUCA